UUUUUUUUAAAAGUACACUUGGCAUCCUAUUAGUAAAAGAAUUAGUGAAAGAAUCAUAAUUGCAUUUAAUAUUUUCUUUAUCUACACACCAACAUUUUAAGGAAUAUUUUUAUAAUAUUUGAUAAUCGCAAUGAUUCAUUUUAAGGAAUAUUUUUUAUUUUAAAGGAAGAAUUAUUUGCCUUAACUAUGCAUUGAAAACGAGAUAAUUAACAAUUAUUUAGAAUUAUUUGCCUUAACGAAUAUUUGCACUAUUUUUUUUAUGGAAACCAAAGGUUUUUUUAUGGUUUUCUUAUUAUUCUUUUGAGGUUUUGAGGUUAUUAACAAUCAUGGUUUUUUUUGAGGUUUUUUUUUUUUAGGGAAUAUACACACCCUGUGUACGAAUCAUAAGUUAAGGUUUUCUUAUUUUUUUUAAUAAACAUUAUGACCUUAUUGUGACUAUCAAUUAAAAAAAUUAUUGAUAAUUAUAAUCAACUUUAAGGAUGCAUUGAAAAGAAAUCAAAAACUUAUUUAGAAAUCAUUGACAUGUUUUCUUUGCAUUAACUUCGGUGAAAAUAUAUGCCUCAAUUCGUGGAAGAAAAAAAAAUAGCACAAUUGUAUGGAUUCAUAAACAGAAAGGACAAAAAGAUUAGCAUAAUUCAUUGUUUUUUAAACAGAUAAAGUUAGACAGAAUUGUCGUAAAUAAUUAAAAAAUUAUUAAAAUUAAUUAAUAUCAUUUGUAAAUAUUCGGACGAUUAUUACGAUUAAAUCAUGAUUGCAACCAAAAAAGUUAUGGUUUUUUUUGAGGUUUUUUUUUUUAGGGAAUAUACACACCCUAUGUACGAAACAUAAGUUAAGGUUUUUUUUUUUUUUAAUAAACAUUAUGACCUUAUUGUGACUAUCAAUUAAAAAAUUUAUUGACAAUUAUAAUCAACUUUAAGGAUGCAUUGAAAAGAAAUCAAAAACUUAUUUAAAAAUCAUUGAUAUGUUUUCUUUGCCUUUAACUUCGGUGGAAAUAUAUGCCUCAAUUCAUGGAAGAAAAAAAAUUAGCACAAUUGUAUGGAUUCAUAAAUUCAUAAAUAAGAAAGAAAAAAAACAUUACAAUAAUAUUUUUUAAUUUCAGAAAAAAAACAAUAUGCCUUAACUUCGGUCAUAUUUUUUAAUUUCAGAUUUCAUAUUGCUUCCAAUAAUAUUUUAUAUUCAUAAAUAAGAAAGAAAAAAAACAUUACAAUAAUAUUUUUCAAUUUCAGAAAAAAAAAACAAUAUGCCUUAACUUCGGUCAUAUUUUUCAAUUUCAUAUUUCAGAUUGCUUCCUUUAUUUAUACAAUAUGACUCAUUUGUUUUUCAUGAGCCAAUCAAAAUGGAUCAUGACUCAUUUGUAAAUUAAUACAUGUUUUUUUUCCCUAUAUAUAGACAAUUUGUUUUUCAUCAUUUUCAUCAUUCUCCCAUAAAAAAUGUAUUAUGUAUUUUUAUUUCUCCCAAAAAAAAUGUAUUGUGUAUUUUUAUUUUCAUGGUAAUAGAUUAUGGGGUUAAUUUUUUUAUUUUUUAUUUUUAUAUUUGUAUAUUAGUUUCCAUUGGAGAAAUAUGGCUCCAUAUUCUGAAAACUUAUUCAAUUUCUCAUAUAAAUCCAUUAUAUAUUGUACAUCUCCAUGUAUGUUUUCCAAAUACGCAAGAUCGUCAUAUGAAACUCAAGUUCUAUAUAUUGUACAUCUCAAUGUAUGUUGUCCAAAUACGCAAGAUCGUCAUAUGAAACUCAAGUUCUAACGAGUUAUCACAUAGAUCUAAUCAUGUAAUGUAUGUUUUUCGGAAUGUUUAACUGGUCGUUCCUGAUGAUGCAGGUGGGUAUGAUUUUUUUCUCUCUCUUUUAAACUUCGUUGUAAUAUAUAUUUUUUAUUUGGAUAUGUAUUGGUUGUUGCUACUUGAAAUCAUUCUAAUAGUUGCGUAAAGAAAGAUUAAUGGAUUGGUCAUGUAGAUAAACUACAAUUCUGCAACUAAAAAUUGAGAUCACACUUCUUAUUUCAUUGUAUAAAAUCUAAUGACAUUUAUUGUUGUGCAAAGAAUAGGCUGAGUGAUCAAUUUGUUAUAGAGGCUAAUAUGUUAUAUGAAGUAAUAUUUUUUAUCCCUUAUUGACAAUAUUUUUGGUCUCAUGUACCUUCAGGUGAUGGUUUUGUGCCUCAGGUGACGUGGUAUCAUUCAUAUGUACACAGGCUGACGUUAAUGGAAUUUCUAUGGUAUUGAAAUAUCAUGACCAAUUGCAAUAGUUGCAAUACCUUCUCUUAGGCUCUGAAAUUAACAUUGUCUGAUAAAUUAAGGUGUUUAUCUACUGAGACUUCAGAUUUUUUAUUAUCUCAUAGAGCAACUCCAAUAUUCUCAUACUAUGUUUAAUUUUAUUUAUAAUGCAAGUAUUCAUCUGAUCUUUCUCAUUUUUCCUAAUGUAAGCCGUACUCUUUCAGAGACCAUAUUAUCAACUAAAUGUUUUGCUUCAGUUUUUAUACAAUCUGCUAUAUAUCUGUUUUUUUUUUUUUUUUUUAUGUUCUUUGGAGUGCCUAUGUCUAUGUCUAUGAACAAGACAAUUUUGUAGUCCCUUUUUUAAGCCUUUUCUGUUGUUUUUGUUGAUGGGUUAUUUUAUAAUAUGCUUAGUUAAAAAUUAAGCCUUUUCUAUUGUGUUUUUGUUGAUGGAUUAUUUUAUAAUAUGCUUAGUUAAAAAAAUGUGAUAGAUAGUUGGUAUCUUUGUCGAUGUUUGUUAUAUUAUUUGCUACAUUGAUUGAAUACUUAUUUUAUAAGAUGAAUCAAGUGUAUGCACGAUAUUAACUUUGUAUAUAUAAGGGUAUCAGCUAUAUAAAUCAUGGAAUUUGAAAGAAACCAUAUAUAAGGGCAUCUGGUAGAGACAAUUCAUUGGGUAGGGACAAUUAAUUGUAUAUGUAGUGGCAGACCUCAAGACUCCAACACCCCCAAUUAUAUGCAGAACAUAAAAAAAAAAAAAAAAGACUCAUGUCUCCGUGAUUAAUUUUAGUCAUCCGUGUAAAAUAUUUCAUCAUUAAAUACUAAUAUUUCGAUAUUACAUCCAUUAAAUCAUUCCUGUUUAACGAUACGAAAAUCCAAAUAACUAUAUAAACGUUGAUAUUUGUAUAUAAUAUACAAUCGAAAAUACGAUAAUGAUGUGUUCUAUUUAUAUUCUGUGUAUAAAAUAAUGAAUUUGUUGUUUAAUUAGAUUUUAUAAAAUAAAAAAUAUAGUCGUAGUUCUAGCCCGUGCUUGGCACGGGUUUCCAAGCUAGUUGUUAUAAAUUCUACAAUUACUCUUUGAAUGAGUAUUAUGAAAGAGGUCCAAGUUCAAUCUCUCCAUGUUGCUAUUGAAUAUUCUUCUACCCUUAAUAAAUUAACCAUAACAUUAUACAUGUAAACUAAGUCAUGUUCAUGAACCAACAUGACACAAGUGAUAGAUAAUCGUGUCUCUAAACCAUUUGAUUUAUAUGCACAACUUUUACUCUUGUUUAAUAUUGAAAAUCGAAUUUUUUCCAUAUGCAAGAGUCAAAAUUGAAAAUUUGACUAUUUGCUUAUAAGUGACUCAAAUCUUUUAUUACUUGAAUCAAUCUAUUUAUUGAUAGUAUUUUUCUUUCUAGCCAAUUACAGUUAUUCAACGACAAUUAACACAUCAGCCAAUUAAUUACACUAAUUUGAUUGUCUUUAUAAAUUCAAGUUUAUAAAUACAUGUUUGUUCAAAAAAAAAAAAAUUAUAAAUACAUGUAGAGGGUUAAAUAUAGAAUAAACUUUUUUUUUCGAAAAGUAUAGAAUAAAUUUGAAAUAAUACUACUACAUACGCAAUUUUUCAAAACUGAGGAGGUGUAUAUGCAUACCUCCACUGUCAAAUGAAUAGGAGGCCAUUGAUGAUACAGAUGUAAUUUAGACAUUUAUGUCCCUUUGGAUCCUCUUUUUCUUUACUUUUGUUUGGUGUUAUCCCAGGGUUCUCAAGGAAAAGGGCUAUGAUAAUUUAGAUUUCAGUCGUGAGGUAAGGAUAGGUUAGUCAAAUAUUGUCUCAUCUAAGAAUCGAAUUUGAGUUCUCCCAAACAAUUUAUACUUGGUGAAACUCAAUUGUCUGAUUGAUCAUCUUUUUCAAUCACUACCUUCUUCUCUUUUCUUUUAUAAUUUGUGUCAAUCUCUUGAUUUUCUUUUCUUAUAUAUUCCCUCUCUUGAUCUUCUUUUUAAGAUUUAAAGAGAGAUAGACACAAAUUGUGGAAGGAUGGAGAAAGAGUGAAUGGAAAGAGAGGAUUUGAAUCCGUUUUUAUUUCUGGUGAAGUUUUUAGGUGUGAUACUCAAUUUGAAAAUUUUAUUUUUAGGCCUCCUCAAUAUCUCUUAGGACCCCCAGAACUCCUUUUUAACCCUAAUAUAUAUGUUCGGUAGAUAAGACCCGGAAGCUUGGAAAACAGUGAGUUAUCUCCUAGCAGGUUGAGGACUUAUAUCCUCGAGGACUGUUUUAUAUAAUAGAAUAGUGAGCAAAAUUGUCACCUAUGUUAUUUUGGUGUUUCAAACUACGCCAUUUGCUCUUCAAACCUCCUUUUCACCCGAUUCUUGAUGUAAGACUAUGUAAUUUGUUUGAUUAUGAACAAAUGUAUUUGGUUCAAGUACUUUAUAACAAACAAUAGCACUUUGUUUAAUUUCUUUGUUUAUAUAAUUUGUUCGUUUAAGUCCUUUUCUCGAUCGUUGAAGUGUAUAUGUUUUAUAUGUGUUAACAUCCGGGAGCUACGAACUAAAGGGUUUGGGACAUAACUCUCGGAAGAAGAAAAAACAAGGUUUUAAACCAACGUCCGAGAGAUACAAACCGAAGUGUACGGGAGGUAUCUCUCGAAUAUGUAAAAAAUUGAACACUACAAAGGUUCUUUGUGUAUCGGACCCUCUAAGAUUUGAAUGUCAAUAAAUUAACAUUGAUAUAGGCUAUAUACAACCAUAUUCAACAUAUGCACUUUAAAACCCAAAAAAAGAGGACUUAAACAGAAAAAAUCAUGUAUACAAAGAACUUAAACAAACUAUAAAUGUUAGUCAUAAAUUACUUAAAUCAAAUGCAUAAGUUCAUAACCAAGCAAAUAAUAUAGUGUUACAUCAAAAAAAUUAGAUGAAAAGUAGGUUUGGUGAGCAACUGAAGUGGUUUGAAAACACCAAAAUAGCAUAGCUCGGAGUUUUGUUUAUUGUUCUGUCAUAUUAAAGAGUCUUACAGAAGAUAACUCUCUAACCCUCUAGAAGAUAACUUUCUAACCCUUCAAGACGUAUCUACUGAAUAAGGGUAAAAAUAAUCUGAAGGGCUAAAAUAUAUUGAGAAGGCCUGAAAAGAAUUUCUCCUCAAUUUAAUAAUGUGAUGAAGAUCUUGACUAUACCACGAUCUCCAAAUUAGAGGAUGUUGACUAUUCUUUGCAUUAUAAAUAUGAUCUUGUCAGAAAAAAUAGUCUCCCUCUAAUUUUGCUGAUUCAUGGCCUAAUAAAAUGUUUUUUACCUAAUAAUUUUCUUAAAUGUGAGUGUAUUAUUUAGUUGAAUUGUGAAUAUACUAGUAUUUAAAAAAAUUUAUUGUUUAUUUUUCAAAGUACAAAAAGAAAAAGUUUGCCCAACUUAGUUUUGAUAAUAUGAUAGUUAUUGGAACCUUAAUCUUUCUUACUGUAACUUAGUGGCCAGAAAUAAGUUCAAACCUCAACUAUAUAUGCAUUGUUCCUACCAACUCAGAUGAACCCCUUAAAUGAUUAUCAGUUAUUUUAAAAAUAAUUUUCUUCAUAAUUGCAUUUAAAUAUUACCUCAUACCUUGGUUUAUAAAUAAAUUGCAGAGUCAGAACCACUUAAUAAAAAUUAGUCGUAGUUUUAAUCUAAAGCUAUCUUACUCAAGUCUCAAGCAUUUCAAGCUAUUCCAAUUAGAGGGUCUUGAAUAUUCCAGGAACAUUAAAAAAAACUCCAUAUAUUAAUUCAUACAAUAAUCCUCAUCCAUAAAAAAAAAAAAAAAAAAAAAACAUAUAAAUCCAAGGUACUUGCACAACUUAAUAGCUUAUUCCCUUUACUUCAUAAGCUAACUAAUUAUCAUGCUAAAUAUUUGUCCACUUCAAGGCUCCAAUGUUUCACCACUUCAGCUUUGCAGGGAAGUACUGUAGCAAAUAAAGAUGCAUUAGUAAAAAACUUAAUAACUCUAGGCAAAAACUAUGGAAAAAACAACCUUAAUUUCAUACCAACAAAAAAAACAACCUUAAUAUGGAAAUAAAAGCUUUCUAGAAGUGCUUACCUUUUCAAUGAGGGAGAUAUAGUAUGGUUUCACCUUUUCAACAUCAACUCUAACUUUGCUCUUGCUGUAGAGAUCAUAUUUGCUACAAGUGAUUGAAAGUACAAGAAUUUUAAUGUUAGAGAAAACAUUAACCAAUAUUUUCUUUGCGGACUUAAUAAUAAUAAUCAUAGAAUGUUACUUGAAAAUGUGAAGCCAUUUGAGAUUCUCAACAUCCUCAUCAUUCAUCAAGUGUUUAUAGGCUCCUUCCCUAUGUAAAGCUGCAAAACAAAUUAUUGUGUCAAAUAAGAUUACAAAAUUGAUUUGAUUGGUUAUGAACUUUUAAUGUGAAUUUUUGGACAAGGGAAUUUUUACUUUUACUUCUAAGUUGAACUUACCAUAAAAUGAAUGGUAUCUUAUGAUGAACAUAGCAGCCGAGGGUAGAGUAGUCUUAUUCUCCUUUGCCACCUUAAAACAACAACCCAAAUUUAUUAAACUUUCUUCACUAUAUAUGAAAUAAUAACACAUUAAAUUGAAUAUGCUACAUUAGAAAGAAAGAAAGAAAAAAUCACUUGGAUUUAGAAAGGACUUACUAGAUACAUGUAGUCAUCAUGUCCCCAUGACAUCAUGACAUUGUUAAGUCCACAUUUCUCAGAGUAAAUCCCAUAUCUAGUGUUGUAUGCAGAGUUGUUAUAGUCUGGAUUUUCCUUAAAAUACUAGAAAUGGAAAUGUAACAUAUGUUAGGUGUUUAAUUUCCAUAAUUUGCUUCUUAAUUUUCUCCAUCUAAAUUGAAAAUAAGUUGAAUAAUUACCUUGUGGUGGACAAUGGAUUCAUCAAAUCUGCAACCAACUGGGUAUGUGUCGCCUAUACCAAUAUUGAAAAUGUUAAGAGAUCACACUUUCAACUAAAAAUUGACUAAUAUUGCAAGUUAUGUAUAUUAGCUAUAAACUAUAGUAUAAACUAUAAAUAAAAUAAAACACACUUUUAUAUUGAUAUAUCGGCUCAGUAGUGUCCGUGUUUCCGUUAAUAUUAUAUAAAUGAAACAUCACACGUACCUACAACAGCCCAUUGAGGAAGUCCCCCAAAACUCGGAAGGAGAAGCACUUUGCCAAGAUCUACAUUUAAUCAAAUUGGUUAAACCAAAAAGGGAAGAAAAAAAAAUAGCAUAUGCUAAAUUUCAAGCACAUGAAAAAAUAUAUCUUUUAUGUAAUGAAGUCAUAAUGUAUCAGUGUCCGUGUCCGAGUCUGUGCUUCAUAGAGUACCAUGGAUUAGGCCAGUUAAGUGCAGCCAAUCUUCAUUUGGGUAGUCCUUUCUUAUAGCUUCAGCUGUUUGUAGCAAAUGCUCAAUUUGUGGUUCAUCCAAGUCAGGGUCACUUUCAUCCACCACUUCAUUCAGAAGUUCACAACAUUCCCAUAUGCUCAUCUCUACCCUGUUCAAUUUCCCAUAUUCUUCUCUCAUUUUCUUCACCUGUAUAUGUUAUAAUGUUCAUAUUAAUAUCAUUUUUCAUACCUUCAUAUUUUUAAGUGUAUGCUAAUUGCUAGCACAAAUUGUGACAAAUGUGUUGUAUGUACAUUUUUUCAGAAGGAAAAAUAAAUGAAAGAUUUGUGGUAGAUGCUUACAAAAUCAAAGGAUUGGUAAAUGUGGUUUUUUCUGUAGAAGUUCUCCACUCCUUCUUGUCUCUCACUUUCAGCAGCAUAAUCCCUGAUUAAGAAUAGCUUAUCAAUGUAAGAUAAUUCUUACUAAAUUCUUUUAACAUGUGAAAAAAUGAAGAAUUAGAGGAUAUAUUCAUUUUUACUUUUCAUAGUUUGUGAUCCACGGUAGAAUUAGGCAAGUGAAAUAACAAGCAGUACCAACAUACCAAUUAAGAUUUCAUCUGUGAGUAAUUUUUUUAGAGUAAUAACACCACCAACACACCCAAAUAAGUGGUACAAACUUAAAAACAAAUUGCAACUUCAUUAUUCAUAUUCAUAAUAGUUGUAUUUCUUUUUUCUUUUAGAGGAAAAGUUGUGUUGUAUAGUAAAACAAAUUGACACCUUAUAUUACUGGUUGGGUCCUAAUAGGAAGCUUAAUGGGCCUGGCCUAAAGAACAAGACAUAGAAAUAGAAUAAUGAGUUGUGCUUUUUAAACCCCUAUAAUCAUUCAAUAGAUAACUUUUUAAUGGUGUUUGUUCAGUUUUAACAUCAUCGAAAGAUAACUCUCAUGAGAUAUUUUUCGGCCUAAAGAGAUAUUGAGGAUCUAAAAAGCACAGCUUAAAAAUAAAACUUCUUAAAAAUUGUGCAUUUAAAAUCUUAAAUACCUCUUCUAAAAAAAAAACUUAAAUACUUAAAAUUGCUUAAUACAAAAGUUCAUUUUUAAGUUCCUUUGUUAACUUUUUAAUUUGUGUCUAUGAAGUACUUCCUUCAAUCACAUUUAUAAGCAAAUUGUACUUUUUUAGAUUCAUUAAAUAAUUUAUGUAUAUAAACUAUAUUAUAUUUCAAAUACAUAAUUUUUUUAAUGAACAUGAAAAAGCAAAAUUUACUUAUAAAUGUGACCGAAGAGAGUACAUGUUAACAUCAUCUAUUUUUAAAACCACUUUUAUUUAGAUUUAUCCAUCUCAAUAGCAAAAAAAACACUAUAUUAUUUAGAUUGAUCAAUCCAAAUACCAUAUAAAAUAUAAAAAAAUUUCCUAUCCGAUCGGUAAAUCCAAUUGGGUUUAUUUUUUAUAGUGUGUAAUUAAUUACAAACAGUGAAUAGUGAGUAAGUUAUGAAGAAUUGAACCUAAAAGUGUGACCAAAUGAGUUGGCCUGUGGCUUAACAAAUCCACCGUCCAACACCAGCUCUGUCUCAUUAGCAACCACUGUCUUUGCCUCGACAUCAGAUCCUGUAAUAAUAAUAUUAUAAUAACUAACCAAUUAAUGAAAUUUAAUAAAAAAAAUACACAAUUUUGUGCACAUUUUAAAAUUUCAAUUCAACCCAAUUCUUGAAUUUAUAAUUAAAACGUUAAAAUAUGAAUUAUCUGAUUCAGAUCCAACGGUUUAGAUUUGUUUGGCCCACUAAAUUCACAAUCGCAUAUAAAUCUAGAUCAAUUAUUGAGACCAAAAAUUACAGAUUAUACACAUAUUACAAUCAAAGGAAAAAGUUACAAAAUCAUGAACAAAAAAAAAAAUAUCUUUCAAUCAAUUUUUUUUAAAACAAAAAUUACAAGAUAUAAAACUACUUUUUAUUUUGGUUUUGCCAGAGGAGCAAACAAACAUAUAUUGCACUAAAAAAAUGAAAUUUUCUACAAGAGAGGAAAACCAUAAAUUUUGCCAAAAAAAUUGAAAUUUUUGUGAGAGUGAUAAAAAUAAAAUUUUGCUAAAAAUAAAGAAGGGGUUAAAAAUUACCAAAAUAAUCAGGUUGAUCAAUGAGGAUGGUCAUGUUGAGGGUGAGAGAGUUGAAGAAAAUGAAAAUGAAAGAGAAUAAGGAAAUUGAGAUAUGAAGGGGUGGCUAUUGGAUUGGUGCUAUUUAUAAUUGGCCGGAGAGUCCUUCCCUGAGAAUUGAAACUUCUCAAGUCCUUCUCUGAAAAUCCUAACAUUAAAUUUUUCUUUGUUUCUUCCCAUCUUUAGGACAAACAUUUAUAUUUCUAGAUACCUUAAUAAUUUUAUUACUAUUUAUCACCAAGGAAAACCGACCUUCUACGUUUUUUAGAAAUUUCUAUUCAAAGAUAAAGUGCCAAACAAGUUGACAAAUCUCCAGUAGGACAAGAGUCCCAUAAGAACAAGUGUGAUUAUCUUUUGAUUUAUAUAUAAUCAUAAUAAUCUAUUCUUAUCCAAAUUUGAGUAUAUGUUUAGUAUAUCCUUUACACCUAACGUACUGUGAUGAUUACUUUAUAGUAAAAUUAAUAAUCUAACGUAGGUUGCUAAAACAACUUAGGAUCAUCACACAUAAGUGACAUAACAAUAUUGACUAAUCUCUGAUUAUAUUUUCUGUUUUGACUCAUAGAUUAUAGAAUGAUCAUCCACAAAAUUAUAGUACAUUUUUAGGAGUUCAAUUUGAACUACCAAGAGUUAAGCCAAAACAUACUUGUAUAGACUCAUUCACGUAUUUUUUUUUCGAAAGUAUCUUCAACUAAAAAUCAAAGAUCAAUCCUUCAUGAUUUAGAAAUUUAUUUAAGAGAUUGACGUUUUUUAAUGAAUAUUCUUUCAUACGUAAUAAUCAUAGAUCAAGCUCAUUAUCAUAUCUUAAUUCAUGCGAGUGAUUGUAUAUAUUAUAGAUUUAAUUUAAUUUAUAUACUUGUCAAUAGAUGGAACUCAUUAAUUACCACUUUUUUUUUGUCAAGUUUAAUCAAAUGUCUAACUCAUUAUCACAUUUAUUUAAGAGAUUGACGUUUUCUAACGAAUAUUCUUUCAUUGGCCGUAUCUUUUUUAUUUAGAAUUUUUAAUAAAUGUUUUGUCUUAACCUUUUAAUUCUAAUUUAUUGAUUAAUUAAUAUUAGUGUCUUGAAAUAGUUGUUUUUCUUUCAUAUAAGUAAAACUUGAGGUAAAGUAAGCACCCAGAAAAUGAUGCAUAAUUAAAAUUGAGGACUCUUUUUUUUAAGGACUCAAUUUAGUCAAAUUAAAUUUAAAAACUUAUAGACAUAUUAUAAUUUGGAUUAAACACAAAUCAAAAACUGAUAGCACAAAUCAAAAACUCUAAGAACAUAGCUGUAUUUUGAUGUGUAGUAUUCUGAUUUCUUCCAUGAAGACAAAAUGACAAAGGUUGGAGAUUAUGUGGGACCCACAAUGAAUUAUUUGUUUUGUGAUAAGUGAGUCAGCAAUGAGUUGGAUAUGAUAACAUCUGCAGUAAGUGGGGUCCAAUGACGUGGCACCAAGUCAAACAAGUACUGCACGUGUUGUUUUAUAAGGCGCUGCAAUUAUAAGCUGUUUUUUCCUCAAACAUGGUUUUCCUUAACCGCCCUUGUAUCUUUUCAGAACUCAAUAACAUGACACGUGUUGUUCAUUCAAUUCAACACGUACUAUUUAAGGUAUUUGUAGCCUUACACGUGCUAGGUUAGGUUUUAUAGUUCUUCCAAGUAAGUAAUUUUGCGAGAAAGAAACUUACAUUAAGCUUCUGUUCGUUGGUUAAGCGGCAUGAUUCCGCCUUAACUUAAAAGGGCCGCAAGUGAAUAUGUCGAUUAUGGUUGUUCAAUGUGAUUCUAACAUCGCGCAUGUAUUGGGUUUAGAAGAUGGGGUUGGGUUAAACUCAAUUGUGACGUCGUGUAAAAUAUUUAGUUAGUAUUUCAAAAUGUGACGAAAAUUGUUUUAGUAGUUAUUCUCGUAAGAUAGGCUCAUGUGACACGCUACAUGCAGAGAUGUGAGGCAAAUAUAUCGAUAUGGAUAUGCUUCAGAGAGAGGGGUUCACACCCCUACAAGUGGAGAGUGACUUAAAAGUUUUAGUAGACAUGGUGACAAGAAAACGUAAUCAAUGGAAAUGCUCUUACCUUCAUUCGGCGCAUUCGUGAUCUAAAAUGCAUGAGUUGGCAAGUACAAAUCAACCAUGACGUGAAGGAAAUAGAUUGGCAAAUUAGUUAGCUAAUUUUAGUCUAUCUUUAGUCUAUUUGAUUUACAUGUUAUGGAGACUUCUUCUAAAGAGCUUCAAUGUCUCAUUUUUUAUAACAUUUUUGACAUUUGCAUGCCUCAAAAUGUUCUUUUAAUCUUUAAUUUUCUAUUAUUAUUUUUUUUACUCUACCCUCUUCUAAUACCAAAAAAAUAUGGACAAUCAAACAUAUUUUUGCUUAUACAUAAGUUUUCAGAAAUAGAAAAGAGCAAUGCUAAAUCCAGCGGCAAUUGUUUUCCCGAGAAUUCCACGAACCGUAUUUUUACUUUAAGAAAACGUGCCUAAACUGCUCAAUCACCUAAAUUCUGGAUUUGGUGGAAGAAAAAAAAAGGCAGCUUGUUUUGUGCAGUCGCGAAGCAUUCGGGAUGAAAGUUUUUGUGAUAUCAAGCAUUAAGAAAUAAAAAAUUACAAAUUCGAACUUGUGUUCAUAUCAAAUGUCUUUAUAACAUUUUUCAAUUUAAUUUGUCCUAAUAAAAUCGUUUUAUUACAGGUUUUUUAGAUAAACAAAAUGGUUAUACCAUUAAAAACUCACACAUAUUAGUAAAGGAUUUAUAGUUCAAACUCUGAUCAUAAUGUCCAGCUAAACAGUUUUGAGGUGAAUGUGUACAUAGGCGGUUACUGAAGUAAUAAAAUAUCUAACUUUUAUGUUUGCAAUGUCACUUUCGUAGAAGAACGAAUGUUUGCAAUGUCCACUUGAGUGGAUCGACUGAAGAAAAAAAAAUCUAUAUAUCACCCGUGUGAAUAAAAGCAUUUAUAUCUUUCGUAUAAAUAGCAACAUGAGAGAGAAAAAGAGAAUUCAAAUUCGUGAGUUUAUUUCACUUGAUAAGGGUUCUACAUAAUAUAUCCAGAGGUCAGAGUUUGAAUUCUGAAUUCUCCAUUAAUUUAGAUGAAUUUCUUUAACCGUUGGGCUACUUGAUAAAAAGAAUAAUUAUCAUGUGUAAGGCGGGUACAAGUACAACACAUUACAAAAGUAGCCAUAUAUAUUGAUUGGAUUAUCCGCUAUAUCUACCUGACAUAGUUUAAACUUUCGGUUGUUCAAUUGAAAGAAAGGAAUUACUAUGUGUGUUUGGUAUGGCGGUGGCUAGAAUUGAUUCUGAUAUAAUUGAGUUUGAGAGAAUUGAUUUUGAUUAAAAGUGAGUUUGAGGUGAAUUGAUUUAUGUUUGGAUAAAAUUAUUUAAAAGCGAUUCUUAUGAGUUGAUGUUGUUUGAAUAAUUUGAAUUAAAAUUGAUUUUGAAUGUAAAAUGACCAAAUUAUUCUUUUGAUUAUAUUUUUUUAAAGCAUCCUUUUAAUUUUAUUUAAAACUACAUAUGUCAUUUUAAUUUUAAUUAUUACUUAUAAUAAAUGGAUUUUUAUUGCUUCAAAAAUUAUUUUUGAAAUCCCCUAAAAAAAGAAGUUAUAAUUAUUAUAUUUUCAGCACCAAUUAAAAUAAUAUUUAUAUAUUUUCAAAAAAUUUGACAAAAAUAAUUAUCAACAAAGGAUACAUUCUAGUUUAUUUUCUAAUCAACUCCAUAUUCCACGGCCGCCACUCCAUAGCUCGCAACUCCUUCCAUCUCUUUAGAAAAAACAAGAUCUCCAUUUUAUAGAUCCUUCAAUUUCUUGUAUGUAACUUUAACUUCUACCAAAUCGAUUUCCUCCCCAUAUCUCUGAAUAUUCUUUUCCCAUCUCAAUAUUCUGUGACAGUCUCAAGGUUACCAAGGGGAAGAUAUAUGUGUAUCGCUGUGAAUUCCAAAGAGAAAGGGCAACAUGCAAAUGGAAAUUUGGGUGAAGUGAAGAAGAAUUUUAUGCGAACAUGGGUAAUUAGGUAAAUUACACUUUCAGAGAAAAACGUGAUUGUUGAAUCUUCCGUAGAAGUUCCGAAUCUCAGCUUCAGGAAAACUGCGUUCUGAGACUUGCUUUUUCAUUCAUCCAAACAACAUGAAAAUGGGCAAAAUGGCUUUUGACAAAAGUAACCCACGUUUGAAGCCUAAAAACGUGUUGUCAAACACAUACUAUAUAGUGUGAGAAACAUACACGCGCUUGACACACUAAACAUGAUAGAUGGUUGUAUUAUAUUUUCGAAAUUAAUAAAAGUAAAAGUAAAUGGCAAUCCAAUCCAUAUCCCAUUUAUUCGUUGUCAUUGUUGUCUAUCAAUCUUUUCUCAUCUUUUCCCUUAUAAAUGGUUGAAAUUAUUUUAAGAGUUUAACUAGAGCAUUAUGACAAUGUAAAGACGUUUUACCAAAUCAACCAAUUAAAAUUAUUCUUUUAGACACAUCAACGUAAGUGUUAAAAAUAGAAAGAACAAAAUCAAAUAAAAUCUUUCCUAUGAAUUGCCUUCUUCCUACUUCUCUUAUUUUACAUUUUGAUGGUAUCUCUUUUCCAUCACCAUAAUCAGGUACUACACUACCGCCUCUUUUCACCAUUUCAAACCUAGUUCAUAUUUGUUGAAUGAGAUCAUGAUGAGCUUCUCCAUUUGAUUCUAUUUUGAUUUGAAGAAAUGAGUUUUAAAACCUUUUUGGACCGGUUUAACCUCAGAUAUCAUACCAAUUUCAAGGAGAUGUUAAUUUAAAAGAAAGAAUCAUAUCUCUUAAAACUAUACCAAAAUAAUUCAUUUAAUUGAUCGAAAGGGCCAGAACACGAGCACACAUGAAAGUGUAAACAAAAUCAAAUAAUUUCAUCAUAACCAAUUCUUACCAUUUGAAUAACAAUGAUGAAGUAAUUCUUCACUAAUUAAAGAAAUUUCAUGAGAAAGCCACCAACGUCCUAAUAUCUUAAUUAACUAAGCAACGCAUCUUCAUAGAAUGUUGAUGAUGAGAACCACAUGGAUCAAUAUCAUAGGAGACGGAAGCUAUCAAUACCGAAAAAAGAAGAACUAGUUAACAAAACAGUUAUUAAAGAUUUGAUUUGGAUUCUUCCAUUUUUAAUUCACUUGUUCUUAUGUGUCAAAAAUAUCAAUUCUAAUUGCUUGACAGUGUAAAAUGGCUUUACACCGAGAGACUUUGAUACCAUGUAGAAAUUUAAAGUCUAACUCAUCUUUAUAAAACCAAUUUGUAAGGAGAAGAUUGCCCCUCUUAUAAACACAUGUCAUCUUGUCCGUGUGAGUUUAACUCAGUUGGUAAGGACAGACAUAAUAUAUGCAAGGUCUGGAGUUCAAAUCCCAGUCACCACCAAAGAAAACACAUGCCAUCUUUUGUCCGAUACGAGACUUUUAACACUUUCCUCUAUCUUAUUUGUGGGUCAUUAUGAUAUCUAGAAGAUUGCUCCCUAAUCCUUUUUAUGUGGUCACCGAAGAUAAUUAAGUUUGGUUUUCGUUCUGCAUUUUGAAAUGCUCAUAUUUUAUAAUUUGAGUAAAUUUCAGUUUACCCCUUCUAUAUCAUCAAUUUUGUACCGUCAAAAUUCAUGAAAGUUUAAAACUAAAAAUAUUCAAAUUAUAAGGAUGCAAUCUAAAAAAAAUUACAGGAGAAAAAUCAAAAAUGACCUAUGUUACAAGUGUAAAGCAUUUUGAAAGUUUUGUAGAAAAAAGUUUCAAUGUUCUAUUUAUUCGUUACACUCUUCAUUCGUUUUAGCCCCUCAAGGUUAAUACUCAUCAGGAAUCGUAGACAAUUCAAUUUAUGCCCUUGUGGAUACAUUACUCAAUUAAACAAAAAAUCAAAAAUGCAUUUUAAUGAAGUUUUCAGGGAAACUAAGAUGAAAGCAAGUCCACGUAGCGAAGUUCAGUGGACAGAAAAUUUCGAAUGAUAAUUAAGAUUGUUUUUGCUUGCACUAUCAUUCCAUGUAAUGACUAGAAUGAAAUGUCAAAGUUUGAUACCAUCUCACAGUGAGCCUAAUAGAGAAUAUUUACAUUCAUGGUGAAGAUAGUAACAGAACAACAUAUUAUAGACCAAAUAAUAACAUAAAGUUAACCAUCUUUUGGGUAGGCCUUCCCGAAAGGAAUAAACAUUAAUCAACUUUUCCUGUAACUAUCAAAAUUUCAUUCUUUUUGCAGGUCCUUGAUCAAGUAUGGGAUCAACGGUAGGUGCUAGUGACUCAGCUGCUUCCUGAGUUUCAGGGCCUUUCUCAGUUUCUGCUGUUGAAGGUGGAACAUACCCUUCUGGAAAUGGUGGCGGAGGCGGAGCAGGUGGAAGCUGCAGCAGCAAAUAAAAACUCACUUACAAUCGGCUAUUUGUUCAGUCUUAAAUAGUUAAAUGUGGUAAAAUUGUAAUAAUAUUUUACGUUUAACCUAAGUUUGUAUUUAUCAGCAAACUCACAAUCAUAACUACUUAUUUAAAUUCCUAUAGUUAGGAGGACAAGCUGUGUUGGGAAAAACCUCUCAUUUGUUGGUACAAAAGAAACAUAGAGCAAAAGGAUCACCAUCUUUUAAUUUUUACCAGGCAAAUAACUUUUUGACAACACAGAGCAAAGAGAAAAUAAUUGUUCUGUAGGCUCAUAUUGAAUUAACAAAGAAGUAAUUAAUUAUGGACCAAGACUUCUAUUCUUCUUAGUUCUUAUGGCUAGAUCGAAUCUCUUGGCCCUGUGAAAAGGAGAAAAAACUUCAUGUUCUUCCACUCAGAAAGGAAGGAUUAGGAAAAUACUAUUCACUUUUCUUCAGACAACAUGAAAACAAUGAAAAAAAUCUGUAGCUAUUAUUAAUCCCACUGUCAUCCUAGUAUGAAAGGGAUAAUCUCAUAGUUAUAAUACUCCAAAGUUGUAAUAAAUAAAUUAAAUGCGUAACAGUCAACCCCAUAAAAGCUACAGUGAGAUAACACACAGCAACAAGGCUGUUAUAAAGAAAUUUUAGAUAAAGCUUAAAGAAUUUAUAUUACAGAUAUAUAAUUGCUUAGAAAAUAAAAAGUUAAUUUAAAACUAAAUAUGCAUUCAUAAUCAAAAUGCUCGAGUCUUGAGCUAAUACACAGGAUAAUAUCAUUAUCAUUACGAGUAACCAAUGAGGAGUCAGAAUACUCAAAGAAGCCCUAUGGUUAGGAAUAGAAUAGUUUGACAGAACAUAAAAGGACAGGCCUGCACAUGAAGAAUAGAGGAUGUACAGUCAGAAACAGAAAACCGAGCAUGUGGAGAAUAGGGUGCGGGUGCAGGUGUGGCAUGUUAUGCCCGGAAACCACAGGGCUUGGGCAGAACAAUGCGGUGAACAUGAGAGACUGACUAAGGGUUUCUAACUUUCUCUAUGUUUCUUACUAAUCAGUAAGAUUAUGAUGAGAUGGGUAAAAGGACAGUUUUCGAUUGCCAUCAAAGUUGCAGCUGCAAAAGACGUGAUUUACCACUUGUAUGGCAGCCACAACGGGAAACUCGAAGUAAUGCCAGGAAAUGGAAGCCACCAAGGUAGUCAGGAACGAGUGCUGGCACGUAGGUUCGUCCGUUCCUACGUGCUUCCCACAGCAAAACGUGCUUCGAGCUUGCUACGAUUCGUUUUCCCCAUGUUUGUGGUCAGGAACGAGUUCCUGAAGCAGGAACGUUAAAAAAAACGAGCUGGGCUUGGCAAAAUUGAUUUGGGCUUCCCGAACCGGGUCGGGUCAAAAUAUCCCGGUUUUAAUAAAUUAAUUAAAACCUAGAAAUUCAAUUUUUCUCAAUCUUCCUCACCUAACCCUAAAAUACAGGAACGGCGGCCAUGGCAUUUUUCUGGCGAAUUUCUCGCUGUUGUUCUCUCUGUAGCCCGGUUUCCCAUAGUUCUCUCUCAUUCUUCACUUCCUUUUUCGUUUUCCUCACUUAAACUCUGUUUUCCUUUCCUUCACUUCCUUUCCAGUACUCUGUUUCUGUUUCGUUUUCAAUCUCUGAUUAUGACUUAUUAAUUAAGUUUAAUGUACUUAUGAGUUCUAUGUUUUUUUGUAUUAUAUAUUAAUAUGAUUGUGUGUGCGUGUAUGAGAAAUUACAAUUUUGCCCUUGAGUGGGUUCUUACGAACCGUGUUACGUUCCCCGACUUUACGUCCCUUCACCAGCCAAUCGAACCUACGUAGAAACUCGUUCCUGACUACAUUGGAAGCCACUAUUCAUGAUGUGUUUACCCAUGCAAGCAUGCGAAUAACAAUCAUGUUUUAUACUUUGAUCUUUUGAUUAAUUGGAAGGAUUAAAUAGGAGGAUAUUAAUUUACUCAAAACUUUUGACAGAAUGUAGAAGAUAAUCAGUUUAUAAAUGUUGAGCAGUGUUAUUCAGUACGAAUAAUAAACCUCAAAAAUCGCACAAAAACAAACGUUUUUUUAUUGAUUUUCAUAAAAAUAAAUAUUGACUAAAAAUAGAAAAAAGUAAAUCUUGUUUUGCGGAAAUCGCCGUGACUUUUGUGGGUGUUAAGAAUACAUGACAUAAAGCAUUUUCCAUAAAUAGUUCAUAUUAUUUCAUAAAUAAACAAUUUCAUAAAAUACUUGAGACACAAGUUUUAAUUCAAUAUUACCUAUCCCCUUUCUCUUUUAUUAAAAUUUUAAUAAACCUCUAAUGAUGUGCUAUGUGAUUGUUUGAAAAGUAAACAAUGGAAAGAAUAUAUCAACUCACCUUGCGUUGCAAGGAAGCAAGAAUAUGAUCCACUCGCUUAAUUUCUUUUAAGUCAAUUGUCUCCUUAGCCACCUUUGGUUCCGGAAUUGUAGUCUCAUUUUCAGAAUCGACUAAACCAGAAGAAACACAAUCCGUUAAUGAGCACAGAAUCAAUAAAUAAAAAAAUCAUUGGUUAAAAAUUUCAACAAGAACGUGAAUUGGCAGGCAGAACAUAAGAUAUAAUGGAAUGCAUGAAAAAUAAAAUGGCAAAGUAACAAUAGCAUCAUUUCCUUGCUUGCCCACAGUUUGCAAAUAGCAACAUCAUACUUGACGUAAAUGAAACAUCCUAUACCUCAACAAAGUUUUCUAGUAAUUAAACAAAAAUUUAAUAGCCUAUCUAGCUAUCCCCUUUCAAUGGAAAAAGGAAGGAAAGCUACAAAGACUAGGCUUUUACAUAGUUUGGUUUUACGAGAAAACCGAACCACAAAAGCAGCCAGAGAAAACCGAACCAAACUGCAAUUGUUUCACCUGAACCAAACCAAACUGGUUAUGUGAUUCAGUGCACUAUGGUUUCAAUGCUGAACCAAACUGGUUUUCAGCAGAUUAAAUUUUAUGUUAUUGUUUUCAAAAUCCAAAAACUAAAGCCACUCACUAUGUAUCACAUAGUAAUUGCAGAAGAAACUGAAUUGAAGUAGAAUUGAAACAACAUAGCAAGAAACACAUGUCCCAUUAUAUGAAUAGUAUCAGCUAAGUGCUAACCAUCACAUCGUAGUAGCAAUAUGACCUUGUGAUUCAAAAAGAAAAAAAACUUCAAUCUAUCAAGAUUAUGCCUCAAUUAAUAUCACCAUGAGAUGAUAUAUCUAGGGGAUAUGAAUUAUCUCAUGUUACUGUUAUUGUUCUAAGGCCUGAAGCUUGAUUUCACAAUAGAAGGUUCACAGUUGGUCGCAGUUCACCGAAUUCUAAGCAUUACAAGUUCAGCUAGAGAACUGACAUAUUAAACAUGAUUCAGUUAGUAAAUCACGUUAGCAGAUCAGUUUGGUUCAUUUUGGUUCUAAAGAGUUAUUUGAACAGCCCAAACAAACACUGUUAACUAUAAUUAUAAAUGUAUAACGGUUCUACAUAAACAAAAUUGCUUACUAAAGUUGUAUCGCUUCAGCAAUACAAUUUUUCAAAUGCUGCAAAGUUUCUAUCACAUUUUUAUACAGGGUCUAAGAAAGGUCCACAGCCACACUAUGGGCCGCUGACAUCAAAGUUUUGAACAUCUCCACAAUUGCAACGCAACCGCAAUUAAACAACAUUUGACCAUGAUUCUCCAUCAUAUAAAAAAUCAUGACGUAAUCGCAAUUUAAAACCUUGUUUUCGUGAGUUACAAACAUUUUAUUUUCCCAAAACCAAAAGAGAAAGAAAAAAAUCGAGCUUACCAUAUCCUAUCUUCUCCAACUUAGAUGCGGCCGUAGUAAAUGCUUUUUCAAUAUAAUAUAGUGCCCUUCCCUACAAGAUCAAUGUCACAAACAGUAUUAAAAAAAACCCAAACCAAAUAUUAAAAAAAACUAAUAAUUUGAAAAAAUCACAUAAUUCAGUGUAAUUACAAGUGUCGGUGUCGGACACGAGACACGCCUAAUCGAAUGAGUGUACGUGCUUCAUAGAAUUUAAACAUUGUAAUAGAACAUACAAUUCUAGCAGCAAAAACAUUGGAUAAUUGAGGAGCUUGAUAAAUAGAACCAUCCAAAAUAUAAUAAGCAAGCAUUGGAGUAACUUUAUCAGGACUAUCCCUCUUCUGCUUCUUCAUAAUAAAAAGAUGAGGUUCCAUAACUUCACUCAACACAUAUUCUAUACCAAUCAUUUUCCUGAAACCCUAAAAAUCGUUAAGAGUGAAAAAAUUGAAAUUAAAAUUGAGAAUGAGGUUAUGGGAAUUACGUACGUGAGUUGAGAGGAAUCAAGUGGAUGAUGAGAACGCAUUCGGAGUUGUUCGUUGUUAGAAGUCCAAUCGUAGAAAGGUGAUAAAGCGAAGUAAUCGAAGACGAGGUUACGAUCGAGUGGAUAUGUGUUUAGCCAUAAUUGAUCUCUGAAGCAUAUUCCGGUCAUGUCUGUUCCUGGUGGUUGCGCCGUCGGUACUCCGCCGUCUAACAUUCCCAUUCCCGGUGUCGCCAUCUCCGGCGCCGAUUCUCUAGAACUGCUGUGAUUUGAAACGAUUAAACACGGCUCAAGCAGAGUUCAUAUUAAUUCAUAUUUUAUUAUUAUAUAAGCUAAAAUAAUAUAUUUUUGACUAUAUUUUACUACACCAAUAAUUAUAUUCAUUUUGAUGUUUUAUCUCCUUUUAAUUUAUUUUAAUCAUUCAUUUAUUUAAUUUUAACUAUAUUAAUUAUAACUUUCAGAACAAAAGAAGUUAUUUAGAUCGUUCAUCAAUGAUAUAUAUCUUAGAAUUUGUAGAAUAAAAUCAUAUCCUUGUGCAAUGCUAUGUUGGACAAUUGUAUCAUAAAAAUGAAAGUAAUAAAAUGUAAAUCUAUUUAAAAGAUUUUGGAGGAUUUUAAUAAUUUUGAUGAUUUUAAAAGACUAUUAAAAUUUAUAAUUUGGAUUUCAAUAGAUUUAUAUCAUAAGAUUUUAAAGAAUUUUAAAUGAAUAUACAAAUUUAUAAGAUUUUAUAAAUUUUAAGGACUCGUUGAAAAGAAAUGAUCAUAAGACAUAACACACUCUGUCUUACAAUAUUCUCAACACAAACUAUUUUAUUUAUUAUACUUUAUUUUUUUUACGAGAGAGAUACAUAGAGGAGAGAGAGGGGGAAGAGAUAGGGAGAGAGAGAGAGAGAGAGCAUGAGAGGAAAAAAGAGAGGGUGAGAGAGAAGGGAGGAAAGACGGGAGGGAAGACAUAGAGAGGGGAGAAAUACACUAAAAUUUUAAAAGAAAAAACAAUUUUAAGAAAUCUUAUGUUUGCAUGAAAUAUUUUUUCAUGCUAAAAUUUCACUAGAAAAUUCCACAAAUUCCAUCAAAAUCUAAUUUAUUAAAUAAUCUUUUGAAACUUGAAUGAUUUUGAAUACCCCAAGACUUUUUUAAAUGAGGAAAAUUUUUGAUUGAAUACCACAAAAUUUAUUUUAAACGAUAAAAAAUCUUGAGAUUAAAUACCACAUGACUUUUCAUAAUAAAAAGUCUAUUAAAAUCUCUUAGAAUCUUAAUCCAAUACACCCCCGUAAAUGUUAGUGUCGUGGUGGUGGUAUGAGAUAUCAAACACUAACAUAUGUGGGACAUUAAACACGACUUAAUAUAAAGUGUUAGUGUAUGUUUGGUUCCAAUUUUGGAGGUGCUAAAAUUGAUUCUAGAUUUAUACAAUUGAUUUUGACAUGUUUAUUUAUGCAAAGUAGAAUUGAUUUUGCCUCAAAAAUUGAUUAGACUUGAAGCUAGCAAUCUAGCUUAUGAUUCUUGAAUUAAUUUUUACACUUAAAUUUAUUUUUCAACUCACUUUCUCAUAAAUAUAUCCAAACAUAAAUCACUUUACCUUCAACUCAAUUAUAGCAAUAAUCAAUUUUAAAAAAUCAAAUUUUCUCACAUACACUUGGUGCUACAUGCAGUAUCUAGUUUUGCUUUUAGUAGUUUUUUAUUUCGAAUAUCUAGUUUUGCUUUAUACUGAAAACGUCUUCGUGUGUGUUAGUGAAUUUUUAGAUCACACACACCUCCAAAAGGAAAUUCAAAAGUUUGACAAAUUGAAAAGUGUGGAAUACUCUAUUGGGUAUUGCUGAUGCACUUAUUGUCACUUUUUUAAAUUAAGGUCACAUCAAUGGUUGCAUUUGCGUCGCAAACUCUUGGGUACCAGAGUGUUCACCUUAUUUACAACCUUGUAUAUUGUGAUUUCAAGCGACACCUGCACCACUUGAUGAUAUUAUCAAGUUUUUUAUGAAUGAAAGAUGGGGGGUAUGCAGAGAAGACCAUAAAAAACCUCGUCCACAAUGUUUUUAGUGGAUACCCUUUUGAUUCAUUAUAUGUUUUGCUACUUGAGGUAUCCACUAUCACUAUCACCAGAACCUCCACCAUCAUUUGUCAUAUUGGCCCUGUAGUAGUUACUCUUUUCAACAAUGGACACCCUUUUGGAUGUUCUUUCAAAACAUAUGAUACAUUGUUUUACUAUUGCACGUGCAUACCUCAUUCCUCUUAUCUCCCUUGGGCCCACAAAAGACAAAAGUUUUCUAUUUGUUCUGUACAAUGGACGUUAGCUUAAAAAUUUGUUGAUACUAUAAUAAGAUCAAGCAGGGACGGAUCCACCAUAUGACUAUGUGUGGCCGUAGCCACACCAGAUUAUCGUUUUUGAUCUUGUGUGAGAUAGUGGCGUCGUUAACUCUAUAUUUUGAAUGUAAGUUCUUGAGUUAGGCUCAGUUGGAUUGGUUUCUUGAUUAAGGUAGUUUUUCAACCGAAGUAUGUAUAUAGUUCCGAGAGCUUGCGAAUAAGUUUACAGGUUGUGAUAGAGAAGUUAGAUAAGGAAGCUUCUAAAAAGUUUGAGGUUGAAAUUUUAGCCACACCAACAUCAAAUGUCUAUAUCCGCCCCCCUAAGGUCAAGUAAUGAACAUCAACAUCUAAUUAAAGCUUUUAUUUAUAUAUAUGCUUCUAAAACUCAUACUUGUCCAAUGAAUAUGGACAAGUAAAAUAUAGCAGGUGGAUGGAUCAUAGAAAGUUAAAAAGAAGGAACAUAGAGUAAUUUAUAUCUUUAUAAUGGAAACUAGAAAAUAGUCUCAUCUCAUUCUCAAUCAUGAAUUUUAGAGGAAUCAUCUUUGUGUUGAGAUGUGUUGCAUGGAAUUUCACAUAAAUCUUCCAUGUUGCAAGGAAAAGAGUUACCAAUUUGCAUGUCAGCUACCAUUUGACGAAGAUCAAAAGUUUCUUCUUUAAGUCGUGCAUUCUCUUGAACAACUGUGUCAUGUGACUCAGACACAUGGUUUAGUUUGUCAACAAGGUUGUGAUUUUCAGUUCUGAGUUUCAUCACUUGUGACCAAAGUUCAUCCAAGUGUUUUUGUUUCCUCAUCCUUGAUCUCCUAGCUGAUUCUCUGUUUGAUAUCAUUCGUCGGUGCUUCCUUUCAUCGAUGAUGUUAAACUGAAGUUCAUCUGCUUCAUCAGAAGUAGUUGAGUUGCUGCUUAAACAUGAUGGGUAAUGGAAGUUUGGUAAGCUGCCUAAAAGAUUAUUUAUAUGGUAAUUUGGAAUUUCAUUCUGUGGUAAGACAAAGUUUGGUUGAACUUGGAAUGAAUUCUCAGGAGGAGUUAGAUAAUUGACUCCUCUGAUCUCACUAGGAACCAUGGCUAGAAUUUUAUUAGACUUUGAGGGUAUUGUUGGAAAUUAAUUAAUAUGCUAAGAGUUUGAUAUGAUAAGAGAACUGAAGAAUGGUGUAUGAGAAAUGGAUUGAAUUUAUAGGAAGGUGAUGGCAUGAAAAGUGGGACCAGAUUGAGGAAUGAGACAUAUAGUGCCUAGGGCUUACAUGAGCAGAAGUUUAACAAUUAUUGGGAAGUGCUGAUAGUGUAUGAAUGUUUUGGUAUGAGAUAGACAUUAAUGAAAAGACUACUUUUUAUCAUAUAAGUGGCUGUCUAGAGUCCAUGUCAUGAAACUUUUGGUUAUUUAUUCUAUAUGUAUGGCUAUGGAUAUUAUUACUAUUUUUACUGGAUGUAAUUUGUUAUUUAUUACUGUUCAAAUUAGUCAUUGCCAGGAUGCUAGUGCAGAAAUUCAUUGUUUGCUACAGCAGAGGAUAUUACUUAAAGAUUUGUAACAACUACUUACUGCUGUGUUAAAAUAUAAUACAUACAUAUGUUGUUCUUAUAGAUAAAUAGUCACGCAUUCAUUCAUUCCUGACUCUUGCGUACAGAGAAAAUUCGUUCAAAUAGAGAAUCCAUUAUAUAUCCAACAGGUCCCUCGAAGAAUUGAGAAAAUUCGGUUGAAAUAAAGAAUCCAUUGUAUAUCCAACAAGUUCCUCAAAGAAGAUUAGUCGCCGUUAUCAAAGAAAAUUGUGAGAUAUAUAAUUGAAAAUCCUAUAUAAAUUUUGUUUGUGUUGAUAUUAUAUAGGAAUAAAAUUGUUGCUUGAAUUCUAAUAAUUUGCUGUAAAAUUAAAAAGGUGAGCAAAACCAAAAGGUUUUAAAUUUUAAUUUUUUGGCCACGGUUAAUUUGCUGAUGUUAUGAGUUAAGACGUGUCAAUAAUGACUAAAUACUAAAUGUGAUCUAUAAUCAAGGCUUGAUUAAGUAGCAGCAGUGAACUAAAUCAAUAUAUGUUGUAUGCUUCUAUAUGCAAUUUAAAACCAAAUUAUUAGCACCUAAAAAUAGUGCUUGUGUCAAUCCUAUAUAAGAGUUGUUUAUCUUGGGGUCCCUACCCAUUACAUAAGCAAUUUUGAAAAUUAAAAACUCUUAGAACUAAUAAUUUCUUAUGAUAUAUGACGGCAUGAAGACCAGUUUAAAAGGGUUCCUUCAAAAAAAAAAAAAGGGUUAAGAAUUUAUAUUGUAUGGUCAUUAGUAUUGUAAAUUAGAUGACUCAUAAGCCAUUAACAUAAAUUAUUUGAAGAAACCUAUGUUGGAGCAAAUGCUUUUUAAUUUAAGCAAGUAACAUCUUGUACCUAAAUUCUAGUCAUUCUAUCACAUAAGUAAUCAUUGUGUUAACAAAGCACUUUGUCAUGAUUGUGGGAAAACUAAUAAGCUAUGUUUAAAAUAACAAUUAUCCAGUUACCUUCCAAGAUACAUACCACACGACACUUGAAAUUUUUAAUUCUAUUUAAAACGGUUUCCAUCAAAAUUUGUUUCAAGAAGAACCGAGAAUAGAGAAGAAACAUGAAUACCACGGUGCUACGGCGGCGGAGCGGUGGAACAAGGUGCUUCCAUGAAUCAUGUUCAACUACGAAACUGAAAUAUGUUUUUUUUUUUUUUGGGUUAGUCUGAUGAAUACGUGAGGUGUUUGAGGUUCGACCCCUGAUCCUGCAUAUAACAAUGACAUUUUUUUUUAGAUUUUUUUAAUUAAAGAAAAUACUGAUUUUAAAACCUUUAAUCUUGGCCAUUAAGAAUUUCAAGUGCCAUGCUUUUCCUUUCUAUCUCAUCACUUUUGAAUUUUAAUGCUUUACGUUAAGCUAUCUCUAAAUUCAUUGGAUGAGAACUGAAUAGCACUAUGUGCCUGAGGCCAGUAACACUUAUUAGAACAAGUUUAUGGUAUUACACUUGUCUCAAACACACCGUAAUAACCAUCACAAUUCAUAAGGGUCUUCAUCGCUCAACAAAGUGAUUAUGUUCACAACAUAUUAGGAGCUGCCAAAUUUGUUUUCUUCUCUAAAAUAAGUACUUUAACUUUUUUAUGCUUCCCAUUGUUGUUGCCUAAUAUACCUUAUUAAUCCUAUCUCGUUCAAGGCAACAAAAAGUAGAAGUAUCUUUUCAAUAUGCAUGAUUUGAAUAUAGUUAUUGAUGAUAGGUUUGUUAUUUUGCUAAUUUGUCUAUUCUUAUGGCCCACUUGCAUGACAUGAUAAUAAUGAAAACAUAUAUAUAGCACAAAAGAUUUGAUCAAAAAAGUUUUGGAAAAUUUUAAGAGGCUAACAUUAAGGUUUUAUGUUUUUUAAUUUUCCUUGGAUGAGAGUGGUUAUAUUAAUUACAGCAUCGUAACACUAUAUAACUGUUAGGUGAUUUUCCACUAUUGAACGUUCCUUUAUUUUAAACUAAUCUGAUUAGGGUGAAGUACAAGAUAGUUGGUAAAACAAAACGGGAAAAAAAGUUUGAUAGUGGUGAAGUACAAUUAAAGAACGUUAAUAAACCAUCUCAAAAAAGGUCAAUGCGUUGGAGUUUAUGUGGAAGAUCCUUUGUAAAAAUCCAUUGUACUUGUAUGAAUUCCUAGGGCACAGAUCAUAGUGCUUUUUUUGUUUGUCAAGUAGUUGGUUAGAAUUCACCUUUCUUUAAAGUGAAUAAAUAGGAUGUCUGAGGUUCGAACCACGGCCCCUGCAUAUAACAAUACAUGUCUCUGCCAAUUGAGUUAUGCUCACGGGACGGAUCAUAGUGCUUUGCCAUUAUCUAAACAAUUACUACUAGAGUAGAAAGAUCAAUUUAGCAUCCCAUGCUCUCCCAUGGAUUGUAUUGAGUGAAAAUAAUUAGUCUCUCAUAUGACAAAUUAAAGUUAUAUUUUUAGAUCUAUUUACUUUAUUUUUUUUCGUUAUAAGAUAGUGCUUUGCCAUUAUAUCUUAUAUUUUAGAUCCAUUUACUUUAUUUUUUUGAUAUCUUUUUAUUUUUAAUAAAAAAAUAAAAAUUAUUAGAGAAACUAUUAAAAAAGACUUAGAAAUUAAUGAGUUUGAUUUAAAUAUGAUUUAUAAUAAAACAUUACGACGUAAUUUGAUUUAUGUAGUCGAUCUCACUUAGUGAGAUAAGGUUUGGUUGUUGUUGUAUUUAAAAAUAUAUAUAUAUAUAUAUAUAUAUAUAUAUAUAUAUAUAUAUAUAUAUAUAUAUUCUGUUUAAAUAUUAUGAUAUAAAAAAUUGAAAAUUAAUCAUUUAUUUAUUUUAUUUAAAAAAAAUAGGUUAAUAAUUUAAAACAAAUUAUAACGAGCUGUGCUUUAGAUGAGAAAAACUCACAUAAGAUUCCUAACAACACUAAUUGUACUUGUAAGGAUAUAUUAUGUAGAUAGUCGAAUGACUCGAAUCCUACGUAUAUUCAUAAACUACGCAAAAAGUUAGCUUAUGACUACAGAACAUGUUAAUUUAGUAGUUGCAUAACGACAUAAAGGAUAAGAAUUAAAGAGAACAAAAUUGAAUAAUCCAAAGUGUUAGGUAUGAAUUUCCAUGAUACCUUUUCUGCAUUGGCAAAGCUUCCAAAGAGACAACUAGUGAACUAGCCAGCAUUUUCUUUUGGAAACCGUAAGGUGGCAAUCUAGCAGUUAAUCUAAAUAUAUAAAUGUUAUCUAAAUGGGGAAUGCAUCAUAAACAAGACAAACCGAUAUUGUUUAAAAUGUUAAAUGUGCAAAUGGACUUUUUUUGUUUGAGGAAAUUGUUGAGUUUACUUUUAAAAAAACGGUCCCUCACCCUGUGUUAUAACUGAAGUUAAAAAUAAUUUAGAAAAUUGUGUGAGCCACAUAAGAGAUUGAUUACUAGGAUGAAUAGCUUAAGAUGUUCUUUUUAAGAUGUUUUGUGGACCUAAAAAAAAAAAGUUCAACACAGAUUAUCAAUCACGUCGUCCUUAAAUCUAUCGAAAUUUUAAUGCAUUGUACAAUAUUUUCUAGAAAUACGUAGUCUUCAACUCGAUCUCGGACAUCAAAAGAGACAACAUUUUCUUAGGUGUUUACUCAAAAAGCUUGUGCAUCAAAGGCCCUUAACGUUUAUACCGAUAUAAUGAACAUUAUCAAUAGUUUUUCCUAAAAUUUCAAUAUGAGUGUUUGCCACUUCUACAUUCUCCGAGGUAAGUCCAUCAUGAACUAGGUACUCUACUCUACAUAGAGAGUAGAUCUCAUUAUGAGUUUAUAUUCUCUCAUCCUUUUAUCGCCUUAGGAACCAUUUUUCUUUUGAUUUAUUAUAGCAUGUUCAUCUCAUACAACUUAUUAUGACUCAUUGAACCUAAUUCUUGGAAUCUUCAGUCUUUAAGGUCGGGUUACCAUUACGAAUGAUUCACUUUUUGAAAAGCAUUGAUCCCAUCUUUUUUUAUGUUUAUAGGAAUUUCUCUCUUGCUAAUCCUUUCUUCAAAGGAUCACCUAAUUUUUCAUCAAUGAACACAUGAUCCACUCUAACAACUCCGUUUGAGAGUAACUCUCUAACAAUGUUGUGCUUACCACAUAUUUAUCACCUCAACUGUACUUUGUAAUAAAGGUUCUCAACUUUUGCAAUAAUCGUUUUACUAUCAAAGUGGAUCAACAUAGCUAGUAUAAGUUCUUCCCAUAGAUGAAUCUCAGUUGAAAACAAUCUCAACCAAUUUGCUUCCUCACUAGCUAUUGGUAGUACUAUUAUCUCAGACACCAUAGUUGAUUGAACCAAUAUUGUAUGUUUCUUAGAUUUCAAAUAAGCAUGUCCUUCAACAAUGUUGAAUAUGUAGCCACUAGUUUCUUUGGAAUAAUUUGAUAGAGUGUUACAAUCAGCAUCACUAUCCUUCAAGGAAAGCGGAAAACAUUUGAUAACAUAAUCAGAGGUUUAUGGGUUUUUUUUUUUUGUAUCUUUUGACCCUUUCAAUAGCAUGUAAAUGAUCAAUAUUAGGUCUACUGAUACACCUGCGCAAUAGUUCCACGACAUAGAUAAUGACAGGUCUGGUAUACUAUGGCAUAGUCGAGGUUGUAAAUGAAGCUUGCAUAUUUGGAUCGUCUUAUACUUUCAUCUGUGCUCUUAAAGAGUGAUCACUUAGAUCAAAAAGUGUGAAAUCAUGUUUACAAUCAAAGUAAUUGUAAUUGUAUUCUAUAAGAUCUUAUGAACAUAAUACUGAUCCAAAGACAAUCCAUUUUCUGACCUAGUAAUCUUAAUAACAUGAAUUAUUUUUACUUCUACGAUGUUUCAUAACAAAGUUGUUACACACCAAAGACUUCAAAACAUUUACAGCAUGAAUUAUGUUUGAACUAAAUAAGAAUAAGUCGUCAACAUAUAAAUAUAUGAUAAUGCAAAUGCUACUUUUAGAUUUAUAGUAAAUACAUUUAUAACUUUCAUUCAAUUUAAUCCUAUUCAAUAUCAUCAAAUUGUCAAACUUUUCAUGUCAUAUCUUAGGAUUACUUAUCUAACUUUCGGACCUUAAUUUCUUGCACAUGAAGUACAAAACCUUCAUGUUGUUCUAUAUAAAAAAAAUUCUUUCAGAUCGCCAUUUAGAAAAGCAGCUUUACUAUCCAUUUGAUGUACACCAAAAAAUGAAUAACAACUAGAUAUAUUAGAACCCUAAUUAAUGAUGUACACCAACUAUAUAAAAAAGAACCCUAAUGAUGUAGACCAACUAUAUAUAUUUCUUGUGACCGGAGAAAACAAAAUUAACACGAGAUACGUACAGAGAUGUCUUCCUGUUCAAAAAAACAUACACAACUGUCUUUGGAUUUUCUUUUUAUAAAGAAACCAACUCCUUUGUAAUUAAACUUCACCAUAUACAAGAGAACUGUAUCGUCCAUUACGAUCCUAUUCAAUUUAAAGAAUUAAUCUCCACAAAUGAUACCCGUUCAUGCCAAAAAACUUCACCAAAUGCCAACCAAAUAUACAAAUCCAAUAAAUAAAUAAAUAAAAGAACCAAUUUUAUUUACACUACAAUUAACAUUAUUUUGUGCUGGUGUUCUGGUCCACUCUCAUUAGUGGUCUAUGGAUAUAUCUAGCAAAAAGAGAAAGAGGACACCCAACAAAAGUGACGGAGAGUGUUGGGUACGGAGGGGGACUCGAUUUAACGGCUGCACAUUUAUGUGCCAACCAUAUAUGACUUACAUUGUCCAAUUGAAGACCAACUAGUGAAAAACAAAUACACCCUAGCUAAUUUCAAUGGAUAGCAAUAACUAGUGAAACAUGAUAUAAUGUUUUUAUGUGGGUCCUAAUUUUCACAAACAAACUAUAGCAAGCGUGGGAUAGCACUUGUGUGACAUAGAAUUUGUGAUAUUGAUGACAUUGGCCAAUCACAAUGUCAUAAUGUUUGUGUUUCUCUCUCUUUCACAAGUAUUGUGACUUGUGAUUGGUCAAUGUCACUAAUAUCAUCUAACUCUAUGUCACGCAAGUGCUACCAGCAAACAUGGGUGCUACUUGUAUGGCUAGUGCACCAGCACCAGCACCGCCCAAGCAUCCAAUUGCUAAGCUGUCAACUCAACCCACCCACACCAUUUUUUUUUAAUUUUUUUUUUGCAUUUUAUGAAUUCGAAACUUGUUUUUCUCCUAUUUUUGUUGGAAAAAUAAGUUUUUAACCAUUCAAAUUAUAAAAUUCUAACAAACAAAUAGUUCAAAUUUUAUAAACCGCUUAGUCCAAAUGGAAUGACACGUUUCUUAUUUUUUCGGAUUAUAAAUUUCGAACUAUUCCAUAACUCAUCUUGUGCCAAGAAUUUAGGGAAACAUUGGUUCGAAUUUUAUAAUUUGAACUCUAUUCGCACAAACACUAACUAUCAUAACCCCCUCAUUGUGUUUUAGAUCAUUGUUAACUGUUUUCAUCGUGUCCCAGUCGAAAAUCCAAUUUUCAAACUCUUUGAUCGUAUUGAUCCUAAAAUUGCUCAGAAAAAUAAAAAUAUAAUCAAGGAUCAAGACUCCAGUAAGUCGCUCCUCAAAAUCCAAAAUUUCAUCGUUUAGAUUUUUUUUUUUUUAAUAUUCUCAUAAAAAUACAAAAAAGUUUGCAUUAGCUUUAUUUGAGUUUUUCAAUUUAUUGGUGGUAUUUAAUAUUUUUCCUGAUUUUAUUUGACAUGUUUUAUCUUCUUCUUUUUUUGUUGUUUUCAAAAGCAAAGUUCAAAAGUACUUAAAUGUAAGAAAUUCUGACCGUUGUUUAUAUAUUAGCAUAUUUCGAAUCAUAAUCCAAAACUCCCUAAAAAAAAGUUUGGAUUAUAUAAUUCGAAUAAUAGUAUUUUUAAAAAAAAAAAAUAGGGCCCUUGGGAAAUGCAUAGUGUGAAAAGUAAUAACAUUUCAUUAUUCUCAAUGUUUUUCUCUUGAUCCUUUACACUUACAUUAUAUGUCAAUUCUAUGAUGCAUAAGUAAGAUUAGACUUACACACUAUGCACGAGUUUAUUUUCAACAUUAGAUCAAAAAUAUUUACCGUUGAAUUAAAUGUCAUAUGAUAUGAUUUGGGUGACAAGGAAAAGGAAGCAACUAUAGUAGUUGUAUAGGUUUGGGACCAUGAGCAGCCAAUGUUAUUUAUUGCUCCUCUGUUGAAUUGUUUUCAUAUAAUUUAUAAGUUGUUUUCAUAAAUUCUUCCAAAUAUUGCAAAUGACUAUCGAUUUUAUAGACAACUUGUGGAAGAUUGAAAACCGAAUCUGAAAAAACCCAAAAAACCAAAAAAUUGUGCUUGUUUCCUAGAAAGGGAAUGAAAACUAAACAAGGAAUCAAUAUGUAAAUAUUUGAACUAAUCAAAAUUGCCAUAUGCAUUCAGAGUCAUCUUCAUUGACCAGUGAACUUCCAUUCCAGUUAAACCACAAAUAAAUAUGUAAAUAUAUACUCCUUCCGUCCCGUAAUAGAUGAUCUAUUUGAAAAUUUGCAAUUUUGACCUAGCUUACUUUGACCAUAUUUUUCUACUAAUAUACAUAGAUAAAUAAUAUCAUAUAAGAUGUCGUUAGAUUCGUCUCAAUGAGUAUUUUCAAAAUAUCAAAUUUUCAUGAUUUUUUCUAACAUAUUAUUCAAGAUAUUUAAGCUCAAAAUUAUGUAUUGGAAUGCGUAAUGGAGUCAACUGUAUUAUGUAUUAAGGGACAGAGGGAGUAUGAUGUAUCACUUUAUCUAAACAUGGUUGAAACUACACAACUUCAAUCAAAUAUUGCACUAGUAGUCAACAUAUAUAAACAAUUAAUGAGCCAGCAACAUAUAGGACGUGAGUUUAGUGCAAUCAACCAAAAACAAAACUAAACGUAACAAAAAUGUGCAAUUCGAGUGUUGGAAUUAUUGUAAUAUCAUAAAAUAGUUGUGUGUUUAAAUUUGACCAUGUCAACUAAAUGUGUAUAUGUAUAUGUAAUCGCAGAGAGUUUGAUAGAAUCACGAUAGAUCACCUAGAAUUUUUUAAAAGGCUACACACUGUAAUUUUAACAAAAUCAUGGUGCCACCGUGAUAUUCUCAAAUCUCAUAGAUGAUCCAAACAUGCAUUAUUAGCUUAGCAUCGUUGAGACAAUAAGAACCAAACAUCAAGUAGAUCAAAAUGUAAAUGAACUAGAAAAGAUCAUACAAAUAGUUUGUAUUAUAUAUAUGAACAAUUCAUCAUCCAUUACAUAUGAGACGAUUAGAAAGAUCAACAAGUAAACAAAAUGUAAAUAAAAGGAAUUAUGAAUGAUCAAACAAUAAUAUACAUGUAAUUGAACAGUACAUCACUGAUCAUAUUAAACACAAAAUGAUACAAUGAAUAGAGUUGAUUAUGUAAAAGCUUUUAGAUGCGCAAUGAGAAAAUGAAGCCUUUAUUAUACUAUGUUUCUUCGAGCGAUUUGUCAUCAAACAACCGUUUUGCCUUGUUUUCAUUGUGCAAGUCACAGUUUCUAUAAACAUGUAUGCAAAUCAAUCGUGGUGUUUAUCCUAUCUUUAAAAGAAUGUUUCCUCUAGUAGUAUUUUUUACUCACUCUGCAAAGUUAAGUACAGAAAAGGACAUAUAGAUGUGUUGCAUUUCAACACCAAAAAUUAUCUAGUUUUUGUUAGCUAUAUUCAUUGAACUUAUAUGUUAAGAUUUAAUUUUUGUAUUUCUUGUUUAAAGUCUUGUUAAUGCAUGUGUAGCUCAUUAAUUUGAAAUUAGCUAUAUUCAUUGAACAGAGAAAUGGCAAAGGCAGAAGUUAACAAGUCCACUGAAAUUAGAGGACAACUCUUAUUUUUGCUUCCAAAAUGCAUAAACUCAUCAGAUUAAUUUACCAUAUCAUUUAAAAUAGUUUCAAGUAGUGACAACAAAAUACAUUCAGAACUAAUCCAGUCAGGGGAUAGGUAGCUCAUUUGGUUGAGCUAAAGGUCGAGAGUUUAAAUCCUGACAAGGGAGAAAAUAUUAACAUAUUGUCAUUAAAAAGAGAACUCAAUCCAGUCACAUGCAUAAAUAAUAGUGAAUCACAAAACUGACAAUAUUUCCGGUAAGCAUAUUACGAAUAGUUAACCAAUAAACAUUUCAUGACAUAUCAGAUCAGCUCCUGUCGCAUACUAACUCAUGCAGUCAAACACAUAUUAGCCUACAAAUGCAGCCACCCGAGCUAUACAACAUAACUAUAAAUAUCAAGAAAAUGGUGAAUGAGAAUAUUUCAAAACCUGAUUCUUCUUAUUUAUGUCAUCUUCAUAAACUUGCUCGAGGUCAACAUGGGGUGAAAGCAAAGACUCUGUAUACAUGGCCACUUGGCGUACAUUUCCACGUCCCUUUUGGUACUCUAACAGCUGUCCUUUAUCAUUAUAUAUACUUCACCAAUCCACCGUCAUAACUAGAUCCAAUAAUAUCACCACUUUUUGUAGAAUAUAUUGGGGAAAAGAAACAAAUGUUACGAUCAAUAGGAAUUAGAAGAGUCUUAGUCCACGACGACGAAUGCAGUUUGUAUUCUUUCAUCACCCAUAUUUCAACUCUACAAUUGCGAUAAUCCAUGCCCCAUAGACUGAGAAAUUCUCCAAAUACCCACAAACCAUAACUUACAGACAGGUUCAUAGUCAAAAUCAUUGGGAAGAGGCAUCUCUAACAAUUUCCUUUCCAUUAAAUCAAAGACAAUAAUAACAUCCACUGAUAAAUCAUUACGACGAGCAACCCAAUGAAAGGCCUCGUUAAAGAAUAACCCUACUUUGACAAUAGGAGCAGCAUUGAAAUAAAUAAAGUGAGGAUCCUCAAUUUGAUUCCAAGCAUUAUCUCUCAAUGAGAAAAGUUCAUAAACAUUUUCCACAAACACUUAAUCCACUCUCAAUGUGAAAAACUCACUCUUUAAUCAAAAACCUUAACCCCAUUCAGAAUUCAACACAUUGUCUUAAAACUCCAAAACGACGACGUUGUCUCUAUGUUUCUUCAACUGGGUCCAUACUCAUAGCCCCAGAAGCAUAUGGGUCUGUGUCCUAAUAUUGUUUCUUUUAAUGCUUUGAUUUAUGAUUAUUGUACUAAUGGUUUACUUGGUUUGGAUUUAAAGGUUAAGACUUUAAUGAUGAGGAAUAAUGGGGUUAUCUUAUGAGAGUUUUAAUACUCUCAUAGACAGAUACAUGGCUCCUGAUUCUAGUUUUACUUCACUUGAAAAGGUUUAAAUUAAAGAUAAAAUUAGAAGAAAAAUUGAUAUACAAAAAGUUGGUAUCCUCUUCAAAUAUAGGUAUAGAUGAUUUUGUUAAAAUUCUAAAUCAACUAGAUGCCCUCAAAGCACGACAAGUGCAAGAUAUAGAACAUAACAAUGCAUGCUAUUAUUCUACACGAAAUUUUCUUCUUACAAUGAAUAGUGAGACAAACACAAAACUAUCCUAUAAGACUAAAUAUGAAAUUGAUAAUGUAUAUGCUUAUAAUCAUAAGACGGCUCGGUUAUUUAUCAGUCAUCGCCACCAAGAUCUCCCCAUCUUACAUUGUGCCUUGCAGCAAGGUAGUGUGCUCCAACCGGUCCUCUGCUACCAUAAGGAUAAAGCUCUGGAGCAAUCUUCUUGUUUUCAAUUUCUUUUAGCAANNNNNNNN
rnacentral:lncRNA from 1 species